UCCCAAAUCGCCGCCACCAACCACCGCGUCACCCUCCUCCUCCCACCUCGCCGCCGGCCCUCCCCUCCCCUCCUCCCACAUCACAGCUCUGGUGGCUACCGGAUCUGCCAUAUCCCCUACCAACCCAUCCCUCACACAUCCCAUCUCUCUCUUGACGCAGCUCCUCGUCGCGCCACCUCCGGCGGCUGAUUCAGGCUACCUUCGGCGAGUCCCGCCAUUGCGGCACAGCCCGACAUCCCCUCACACAGCGGAGCGCUCUCAUGCGGCGAGAUCCAGUGCUCGCGGCCACCAAAGCCCACCCGCGACCUUCCCCUGAUGGCUAGGGCUUCGGGCGUCGGCCCCGGCGCCGGUGGCCAUGUCGUCCUCUUCUCGCCGGUGAGUGAAUCCCCUUCCCUGGCUUCGUCCUCUCUCUCUUCCCCUUUCUCUAACCUUUGUUCUUCUCUUCUCCUCUAGACGUCUAGGUAUGCACCCCCGAUUCUAUUGCAGCUAAUCCCUGUCAAAAAAGUUUGGCCAUUGUGCAAUUCAUUGACGAACACUGAUAGGCAUGCAGACUGACUUCCCAUCUCCGUUGAUUUACAUUCAUGCACUGAUUGCUAUUCUAUUAAAUUAGUACAGUAAUUAUUAGAUAUCAUUGGAGCAUCAUAUUAUUUUUAAAUCUUAUACGCUGCUAACUCAUCAGUGCUUCAUAGAUGAGUCGGUAACCAUUUUAAUUUUUUUGAUGCAGAGAAACACUAGUUCAUAUAUGUGGAUCACAUAUUAAAUAGUCUACUGCCAGAGUUAUAAUAUUUAAGGCCGGAUCCAUAUAGGUCUCUGUAUGGCAGUUUGGAUGAGUUACUAAUCAAAGUUUUUUGUUGCAAUUUCACACUUUUUGGAGUCUGAUGAUCAGGUUAUUUAGGUGGAGGUAGUAGCUCGCUAAUGGUGGCUUUCACGUCCAGCUCAAAUACUAGAGGAUGUGGACCUGUUGGUGGAAGCACGUACACCUUUGUUUUAGUGAGCAGGUGAAUUAAUAAUGUGCAUGGUUUCUUGUAUGAUGUUGCUUUGAUGCUGUUGAUAUGAUUCAGAACACUGCUAAAUACUUCUUUCCACACCUGUUAAUAUACUAAUUGUUGUAUGCUCUUACUAUUCUACAUAAUUUGGAUUUCUAGCUAAAUACCCGUGUGUUGCUAUGGGUUAACAAACAUUCAAUUUCAUGAACACGUCAAAUGUGAUACACUGUUUUUUGUAGUAUGUGAUACACUGUUACUUUCCAAUUGUAUUUCCAUACACUGACAUCCUUCUCUUCCUUCGGUUUCAAAAGCUAUUAUGCAACUCCCUAGUUAAAUUCCUCGGUCUUGCUAGCCUCUUCGUCUAAAAAACUCACCAUAAGAUAGUACACAUUUUCUUUGUCAUUUGGUUAUGUGAUUGUCCCCUCAUAGCAUGCAGUUAUUAUAUAUGCACUUGGGUCAAGCCAUUGUAGAGGACUCAUCUAUACCAAGUACUCCCUCCUUGAGUAGUGAUCUAAAUGCUCUUAUAUUUCUUUACGGUGCGAGUACUUAUCUACUAAUCUGGAAAAGGUACUAAUCUACUACCGCUGUACAUCAUAGGGAAAAUAAAACUGAAUCCCAAUACCCCACUUAGAUGGAACCUACACCUGAGCUUUACGCAUGUUCAUGCGCAAACAUUCAGAUACUAAAGCUUGCAGCAAGAACACGCACAUAUACACAGGCAGCGGCUCACUGUUAAUCAUCAUGUUUUUCAUCCGUUAAGUAGAGGCUCAUUGUUUGUUUGUGCGCAGGUUUCCAAAGGAAGAAAUACUCAAUGCCAUUUUGUGGUUUUCAAUGUGCUAGUCUCUACAUUCAUAGUACGUCACUGUGUUUUACCUUCAACUAAGACUAUUUCCGUUGUGGUGAUUAUUCAUUUAUUCCUUUAUUGCUUACAUUAGCUAACCAUUUUUUAGCCUUCUUUUCUGCUCUUAUUCAACUAUUUAUGUACUCCUAUCUCGCCAAUGGUCUACCUAUUGUUGUGUGUAAUUUAAUGUGAGGUGCCGCACUCAUCCGUUCAGGCACUAUCGAGAUGGAGGCGAACAUCAUAGAUGGCUGGAGCUGCGAGUAGAUUUGUCCAAGAUACGACAGUGUUCGUAGUCAUGGUUCUAGUAACUAUCCACAAUCUCCAUAUCUUAACUGUUUGUGAAGAUGGAAAUGCAAGUAAUGUUCUUCUUAGAUGCUCUUGCCUUUUUGAUUCGUACAUUGCUAAACUGACCACUGAGCUCUCACCACUUUGAUUCGUAAAUUGCUGAAUUAUCCACAUGAACUCUUGCUGUCAUGGUUCAUAAAUUGUUGAAUUUCCCAUUAUGUUGCUUGCACUGUUCCACAUGAGCAGUGUCUAUUGUGCUUUUAACCCGUCAACUAAGUAGGUACUAUGUUAUUAGUGGCUUGCUUUUAGGCCACAGUCACAUCUGUUUAUUUUUCUUCGAGUCUGUUUAUGUUUGUUUGUUGGCCUGAAGUAGUAUAUUGAGUUGUAAGGGAAUACUUUCAGGUAAUCUAGCCGGACAACCAAUGUUUCGAAAGUAAUGACCCAUUGUAACAAGUAAUAUUUCUUAUUUGUUGGGAAACCCAUCACUAUUUGCAUCAUGUCAAUGCAUUGUGUAUUAACAGUUCGUUUUGUUAUUUUCUUUGUAGAUUCAAAAGAUAUAUGGAAGCUUCUAUGGGUGCGUGGCAAGUAUACUACAAUGGUGAUGAUGAUGUUCCGGUUCACGAUGAUGAUGAUGAUGGCUGUUUUUAGUUUUAGUUAUGAUGGCUGUUUUUAGUUUUAGUUAAGUUGUAGGGAUGUUGUUCCUGUUGGAUGAUGUUCCUUGGUUAAGUUUUUGUUAAGUUGUAGGGAUAACGAUGGAUGUUUCAAUUUAAGUUUCGUUGUCGAGAAUAUUUAGAUUAUGCAUCAUAUUUGGAAGUUAUUCCUCAUGUAAUAUCAACAAUUGUAAUCCCAAAGUUCUUUUUUCAAUAUAUGAUCUCUUCCUCUUA
rnacentral:lncRNA from 1 species